ACAUGUCCAAAUCAUUUUUGGAGCCACUUUAAAUAAAUUUUGUUAUGUGAUUUCAAUGCAAUCAUACAUCUGUUUUUUAGGCCAAAUUAGCUGCCUCUCUUGAGCAACUGUGUGAUGAGUUGCCUGCCCAAAUCACUAAACUCUGCCACACUGAGGUGGAAAAGAUGCUUCCUUUUGCCAUCACCUUCAUUACCAGCAUGAUGGAACCCGGUGACAUCUGUACAUUUCUUGGAUUGUGUGGAGGACGUGACAUUGACAGGAUUAGAGAUCUGUUGCUUAAUCACGUCAAAAACUCUACCAGUGCCAACUAUGAAGGUAACAUUUGAGGAAAUGAUUUUGAAGUUAUUGUUUGCAUGUUCUGCACAGCUGACUAGGUUUCUCUGCUCUCUAAUACAGAUGGAGACAUCCAUGCAGUGCUCUGUUUGCACAUACAUUGUGAGCACCCUGAGAGUAUCUGUUUCCCAGAGAGAGGACUCAGAGCAUCAUAACUGUCCUGCUGGAGAGUUUGUGCAAAGAGUUUCCUCCUCUGUUUCAGCCCACAGUGCAAUAAGAUGGCUGAAAAAUACAUCCAGCUAUACAUAUAUAUGUAUGUAUAUAUAUAUAUAUAUUUUCCUACAACAGAAUUUUCCUACAACAGAAUAACUCAAAUGGAGAUAGUCCAGUAACAGAAUGCAGAGUAGCACGGUAAGCACGGUAAGCAUGGACGCGUAUUGAAGCGAUGAGAAGAGGAAAUGUUGAAUAAAGUUUUGUUUUCAUCAUGUUAAAAAAGUAACUUCAUAACAUUACAGUUGAAUC